rnacentral:Y_RNA from 1 species
GGUUGGUCCGAGUGCAGCGGUGUUUACAACUAAUUGAUCACAACCAGAUUCCUUUGUUCCUUCUCCACUCCCACUGCUUCACUUGACCAGCCUUAA